rnacentral:pre_miRNA from 1 species
GAUGUACUCCCUCCGUUCGGAAUUACUUGUUGCAGAAAUGGAUGUAUCUAGAUGUAUUUUAGUUCUAGAUACAUCCAUUUCUGAGACAAGUAAUUCUGAACAGAGGGAGUACAUA